GUCUAAAACAUCGUGGUCUUUAUUUUCAGAUCAAGAUUCAGUGCGUUUGUUGGCUGUUGAAGGUUGUGCUGCUCUUGGUAAAUUGUUGGAGCCACAAGAUUAUGUAGCUCACAUUCUUCCGGUCAUUGUCAAUUUCUACCAGUAUCUGACCGAGAACAAUUAUUUCGUGAUGAUUGGGGUAAUUGGGCUGCCCGGUGUAGGCAAGUCAACCAUCAUGAACGAGCUUUAUUAAUAUGAUGCAAGCUACCUGUGGUAACAAAAGAGAUGCCAAGUGCGCUGAGGAUGCAGAGGCCAGAACAUACAUACAGUUCCCAUUUUCUGAACACAGAAACCAAUGGCACCGUCGAAUUCAGAAAGAGCAGAAAGCAAGUUCUUUUUUUAACUUUCUUUCUGAUUUGGCUGGGAAUGGAAGUGAGUACUAAGAACAGAGCAAGUGAUAUUUAUGUUUCUAGAUAAACAGGCGUGAGGCGUGGAGUAAAAACAAAGGAGGUAAAGAAAGGGCCUUCAAUCGUGAGGCAUUCAUUUUGAUUGUUCGAAAUGACAGACUUUGACAUUUGUUACGAUUGUUAAGUUGAUUCUUGAUAGUAACACUAAAUAAUGAUCUAUGCG